rnacentral:rRNA from 1 species
CCAUGUGUAGCGGUGAAAUGCGUAGAUAUAUGGAGGANCACCAGUGGCGAAAGCGGCUCUCUGGUCUGUCACUGACGCUGAGGCUCGAAAGCGUGGGUAGCGAACAGGAUUAGAUACCCUGGUAGUCCACGCCGUAAACGAUGAGUGCUAGGUGUUAGGCCCUUUCCGGGGCUUAGUGCCGGAGCUAACGCAAUAAGCACUCCGCCUGGUGAGUACGACCGCAAGGUUGAAACUCAAAGGAAUUGACGGGGGCCCGCACAAGCGGUGGAGCAUGUGGUUUAAUUCGAAGCAACGCGAAGAACCUUACCAGGUCUUGACAUCCCGAUGCUAUUCUUAGAGAUAGGAAGUUACUUCGGUACAUCGGAGACAGGUGGUGCAUGGUUGUCGUCAGCUCGUGUCGUGAGAUGUUGGGUUAAGUCCCGCAACGAGCGCAACCCUUAUUGUUAGUUGCCAUCAUUAAGUUGGGCACUCUAGCGAGACUGCCGGUAAUAAACCGGAGGAAGGUGGGGAUGACGUCAAAUCAUCAUGCCCCUUAUGACCUGGGCUACACACGUGCUACAAUGGUCGGUACAACGAGUUGCGAGCCGGUGACGGCAAGCUAAUCUCUGAAAGCCGAUCUCAGUUCGGAUUGGAGGCUGCAACUCGCCUCCGUGAAGUCGGAAUCGCUAGUAAUCGCGGAUCAGCACGCCGCGGUGAAUACGUUCCCGGGCCUUGUNC